rnacentral:rRNA from 1 species
AUACAGAGGGUGCGAGCGUUAAUCGGAAUUACUGGGCGUAAAGCGCGCGUAGGCGGCUUAUUAAGUCAGACGUGAAAUCCCCGGGCUCAACCUGGGAACUGCAUCUGAUACUGGUAAGCUAGAGUUUUGGAGAGGGAGGUAGAAUUUCAGGUGUAGCGGUGAAAUGCAUAGAGAUCUGAAGGAAUACCAGUGGCGAAGGCGACUUCCUGGCCAAAAACUGACGCUGAGGUGCGAAAGCGUGGGUAGCAAACGGGAUUAGAAACCCCAGUAGUCC